rnacentral:rRNA from 1 species
GUUGGGUUAAGUCCCGCAACGAGCGCAACCCUUAUCCUUUGUUGCCAGCGGUUCGGCCGGGAACUCAAAGGAGACUGCCAGUGAUAAACUGGAGGAAGGUGGGGAUGACGUCAAGUCAUCAUGGCCCUUACGACCAGGGCUACACACGUGCUACAAUGGCAUAUACAAAGAGAAGCGACCUCGCGAGAGCAAGCGGACCUCAUAAAGUAUGUCGUAGUCCGGAUUGGAGUCUGCAACUCGACUCCAUGAAGUCGGAAUCGCUAGUAAUCGUAGAUCAGAAUGCUUCGGAGAAUACGUUCCCGGGCCUUGUACACACCGCCCGUCACACCAGGGGAGUGGGUUGCAAAAGAAGUAGGUAGCUUAACCUUCGGGAGGGCGCUUAC